rnacentral:sRNA from 1 species
ACACGCCGAAAGGAGGUGGUCCGAACAAUGGUUAAUCAUAGUUGGGCUAGCGAGGUGGCUGUCCGCUAGGGCGCCCCAGCUCCGGACUUCUGUCCGGACGUCUGGCGACGUUCGGCGAAUCCAGGACAACACCGGAACCCCGGGCUGCCGGAAGGCGGGCCAUCCCGCCUUUGGUCCAUCCGGCCCUCCUGCCAAGCAGGAGGAGCAGGCCCGGGGUUCUUCCCUU